rnacentral:rRNA from 1 species
GACGAACGCUGGCGGCGUGCUUAACACAUGCAAGUCGAACGAGUGGCGAACGGGUGAGUAAUACGUGGGUAACCUGCCCUCUUUUUGGGAUAAGCCUUGGAAACGGGGUCUAAUCCCGAAUAACGGGGGAUGGGCUCGUGGCCUAUGAGCUUGUUGGGGGGGUGAUGGCCUACCAAGGCGGUGACGGGUAGCAGGCCUGAGAGGGUGACAAGAGACAGUGGGUUUGAGAAACGCCCAGGGUCCCAACGCGUGGGAGAAGGAGCGGAUAUUGACCAAUGCGCUUCAGUCCGCUGCAGAGUUGCAGCGUGGGUGAUGAAGGUGUAAGGGUUGUAAACCUCAUGGGCAGGCGAAGGGGUAGGUGGAGAAGAAGCGCCGGCUAACUACGUGCCAGCAGCCGCGGUAAUAC